UACGAAGGGUGCAAGCGUUAAUCGGAAUUACUGGGCGUAAAGCGUGCGUAGAUGGUUUGUUAAGUCGGAUGUGAAAGCCCCGGGCUCAACCUGGGAACUGCAUCUGAUACUGGCAGACUAGAGUGUGGUAGAGGGUGGCGGAAUUCCCGGUGUAGCGGUGAAAUGCGUAGAGAUCGGGAGGAACAUCCGUGGCGAAGGCGGCCAUCUGGACCAACACUGACGUUGAGGCACGAAAGCGUGGGGAGCAAACAGG
rnacentral:rRNA from 1 species